UUGGAGGGCAAGUCUGGUGCCAGCAGCCGCGGUAAUUCCAGCUCCAAUAGCGUAUAUUAAAGUUGUUGCAGUUAAAAAGCUCGUAGUUGAACUUCGGAACCUGUGGGUUGGUCGUGCCUCCGGUACGUACUGGCUCUACCGGUUCCUCCCUUCUGAAGAAUCACGAUGUCAUUAAUUUGGUGUCGUGGGGAAUCAGGACUGUUACUUUGAAAAAAUUAGAGUGUUUAAAGCAGGCUAAAGCUUGAAUAGAUUAGCAUGGAAUAACGAAAUAGGACGUUUGAUCUUAUUUUGUUGGUUUCUAAGAUCGACGUAAUGAUUAAUAGGGAUAGUUGGGGGCAUUAGUAUUCAAUUGUCAGAGGUGAAAUUCUUGGAUUUAUUGAAGACUAACUACUGCGAAAGCAUUUGCCAAGGAUGUUUUCAUUAAUCAAGAACGAAAGUUAGGGGAUCGAAGACGAUCAGAUACCGUCGUAGUCUUAACCAUAAACUAUGCCGACUAGGGAUCGGAUGAUGUUAAUUUUUUAAUGACUCAUUCGGCGCCUUACGGGAAAC
rnacentral:rRNA from 1 species